rnacentral:rRNA from 1 species
AGAUUGAACGCUGGCGGAAUGCUUUACACAUGCAAGUCGAACGGCAGCACGGGGGCAACUCUGGUGGCGAGUGGCGAACGGGUGAGUAACAUAUCGGAACGUACCCCGUCGUGGGGGAUAACUCUCCGAAAGGAGGGCUAAUACCGCAUACGACCUGAGGGUGAAAGCGGGGGACCUGCAAGGGCCUCGCGCGAUGGGAGCGGCCGAUAUCGGAUUAGCUAGUUGGUGAGGUAAAGGCUCACCAAGGCGACGAUCCGUAGCGGGUCUGGAGAGGACGACCCGCCACACUGGAACUGAGACACGGUCCAGACUCCUACGGGAGGCAGCAGUGGGGAAUUUGGACAAGUGGGGGCAACCCUGAUCCAGCCAUUCCGCGUGAGUGAAGAAGGCCUUGGGUUGUAAGCUCUUUCAGCGAGGAACGAACGGUCGGACUCGUAAGUAAGGUUGCUAAGUGACGGUACUGCAGAAGAAGCACCGCUAACGUACGUAGACCGAGACGCCGAC